ACACUGUGGUAAAGCCUCAAAACACACUCCUAGAUUACCAGCCAAAGGAGUCAGAUUUUGGCCUCUCUUAUCCACUAAAAAGCGAUAUACCCAAUGGAAGUACAAAGCUUUCAAGGAUAAGAGAACGCAGAGGUUAUAUUGCUCCAGGUGGGUUUUCAAUCUGUCCAUCACCUCCAAAGCAGAUAUUUAUAGCUAUGGAAUGGUAUUCUUGGAGAUAGUAACUGGAAAAAGCCGAACAGCAGACAUACAAGUUAGAACACAGAUAACAUAGGUGAAAGAACAGAUGAAGGGAGCUACCGCCAUGGAUUUGAGGAUGGAAAAGAUUGUAACCCAAUGUAGAAGGAAAAUUAUGAAAAGAACCCAGAAAGUGGGUACAUGAAGAAAAAGAUGCAAUUACCCACCCUGAGACAAGUUAAGCUACUUCUGAAAGAUGAAAUUUAAGGAUAAGAAUAUGUUUAAUCCACCAUUUAAUAAUGAUGGAUGUUGAGAUUAUCAAUGCUGUAGAAUAAUCCAAUCCACUAUCCUAUGCCUAUCUCGUCAUAUUGCAUGCAUUACUAAUGAAAUCCUUGUUUUUUUAUAAAUAAUAACUACAAGAUGCAUACUUGACCAUUGAACUAUUAGUUUAAUGGUGAAGUUAUACCUGGUCAACUGCGCUGAUUUGUGCCCCCUCAUCCUGAGCAUAUAGCAGGUGGACACCACACGCACCUAUAACACGCAAGAUAUAAGCUGAAAUCAUAUCCCACGAAGACAUGAUUGGAUCUAACAAAACAGGGUCCAAGUUCAUCCGACGUGUUAGCCAAACCUCGCAAAGUGCAACUCACAACAUGGUGAUCGCCAUGAUUGGUUGUCAAAUUGCAUUUACAUACAACAUAAAUGUCACUGACAUCUGCAGAGCCUGUACAUUCUACAACAGCACACACAGCAAAACCCAAGAACUUGGGAUUACGCCAAUUAGACGGUAGCUUGAUAGUGAUAUGAGAACCUUUUUUCCGACAGCCAAACCAGUUUGGGAUUUCAUUUGCAGGCUGCAGCUGCUGUGUGCUGAAUCCUCCAUUGUGAAUCGUCCUCAAUGAUGUGCAGUGAAUUCUGAUUCAAUCUUGGACAGUUAAUAUAGCAAUACCUCUGAUUAUUUGGACAUUUUGGUAACAUUUUCUCCUUAAAUAAAGUCACUGAAGAUGAUAUUGUUUCAAGUGAAAUGCAACCCUUGGCAUUUAAGAGCCUAAGAUUUGGUGGAAGUUCUGGUAAAGAUGUAAGUCUUUCACAACUACUAAUGUCUAGCUUUUGUAAUUGAGAAAGUUUUCUGAUACUGACAGGUAUGCUUUCCAGCUUUAAGCAACCGGAAAUCAAAAGGCUCGUUAGAUAUUUCAUUGAACAGAUAUUGCUUGGAAGUCCCUUGAGAAGUUUGCAGUUACGCAUACUCCAGAAGUAAAGUUCAGAGAGAUGCUCAAUAGAUGCAGGCAAUUCUUCUAUGGCAGUUCCAUCCAGACUUAACUCUUCUACACAUCUCGAGAUUUCUGAUUCAGGACAGUAAGCUUCUUGAAACAUUUAAUGGAUGAUGGCACCUGAAGCAAACUUAUGCAGCCUUCAAGAUUGAUACAUUCAAGAUUUAGGGCCUGUGAUAGGUCUGGUAAUCUGAUAAAGUUUCGUGAGUGACUGAG